CACAAUGUUUGUGACAACUGGCUCUCCUCCAGUCCCGCUCCAGAUGGAAUGGACCGGCACCCGCCUGUCGCGGCAGCAGCCCUGCUCCUCGCUUCCACUCUCCUCCACACUGAAAGCAGCACAGCUCGCGGGCCGCGCGCCGUUUGAAGGCACCUACAAAGCGUGAGAAUGUGAUUCUGGACACCCUCAGCCCGGAUGAUCCCUCAGGACCCGCAGCCCUUUCCCAGCUCCACACAGGAACUCCUAUGCAUUAUGCAUCACCACCCAGGCCUGUUUCAGAGCCGAGAAGUAAAGAAAACGGAGAGAAACAGAGCUUCCCAGACUCCUGCAAUCAGUCCCACAGCUGCUCCGGCUUCUGCGGAAAAUGGGUCCAAAGAUCCUGAGGGAGAAAAGGGAGAACUUACACUGCUUCCGCCUUCACAUGGAGGAGGUUGCGAUCAGAAGAUCCACCCAAGUGGGAAACAAAGGGAUGUGGGACCUGAUUUAGUUUAGAGCUAAAGACUCAGCGACGGCGUUACAUGUGUCAGCACCGUCUCAGCCCACGCUUAGUGCCACUUAUGGACCCUGUGAAUAGAAUUCUCAGAGUCAUCCCAACCACAUUUCUGACGAGGCCGCCUGUCAGGCACCAGACGGCUGUGAGUCAUCCUGACUUUGAUCACAGCGUAACACGUACCACUCCUUUGCACAAGAGCCGGCCGGAUAUUACUACAUCUGCCUAUGAGGCGCUUUGAAUUACGCUGUGUGUACCAACAUUGCCUCAGUGUGGUGAAAUGAAGGAAAAGUUGUGUGAGGUUUAGAAAAUGUGUAAGACAAAGACAUUAGAGUUCACAACUCAGCUAAAUGGAAAGUAUUGUACUGUAUAUACAGUAGGUUUGUUAGAGGCUAUUCAGAUUAACAUUGUGUUGAUUCGUAAACAAAUUUAUCACCAUCCAAGUAGACACUAAGCUCGUCUGUUUCACAGUUGUGUGUCUGUGAUUGCAACCAUUCACUGUUGUUACAAGCUCAGCAAACAGCUUCACACUAUCACUAUCAUCACAUUGUGACACAUUGUUUCACAUUGUGUGAAAUGUAUCAUGUAUCAUACGUCUGUAUCUGUCACUAACAAAGCAAAUCCACUGACUGAUCUCACUUCUCUAAACUUAUACUUACUUACUAAUGCAGCAGUCAUGAAACCAACGUUUACGAGGUUAAGGUGUUGGACCUGUCUUAAAAAUUUGUGUUGUGGUCGUGGUGGGUAGUUAUGUUGUGCCGAAACAUUAGAAGUACCUAUGAACGCCAGUAACUGAUAUUUGCCCUGAAUUUUAAAGCUGCAUCAUGUGCAUGUUUAUACAGAAUUGAAAAUGAAUGACAGACAUGACGUAUCAUCUUCAUGUCUGUAUUGUCUUUUUCAAUGGGUCAGGUACAAGCUGACUCUCUCUCUCUCUCUCUCUCUCUCUCUCUCUCUCUCUCUCUCUCUCUCUCUCUCUCUCUCUCUCUUUCUUUCGGCCGCUCUUCUUUCCAUCCUGUAUUUUUUAUUGUCCCUUGAUAUUACAAAGUUUGUAAACUCUAUUUUCUGCAUCACAUCCCAGCUAAAUAAUAGAUUAAAAACAACCUUGCAUUUUUUGAUUUGUUUGGAAAAUUAUGCAUCUUAAUUAAACGGAGUGCAACACAGUGUGUGAACUUGAACCUGAAUAAUU